CCUACGGGAGACAGCAGUGAGGAAUAUUGGUCAAUGGACGAGAGUCUGAACCAGCCAAGUAGCGUGAAGGAUGACUGCCAUAGGGGUUGUAAACUUCUUUUAUAAAGGAAUAAAACGAGGCACGUGUGCCUUUUUGCAUGUACUUUAUGAAUAAGGAUCGGCUAACUCCGUGCCAGCAGCCGCGGUAAUACGGAGGAUCCGAGCGUUAUCCGGAUUUAGUGGGUUUAAAGGGAGCGUAGAUGGGUUGUUAAGUCAGUUGUGAAAGUUUGCGGCUUAACCGUAAAAUUGCAAUUGAAACUGGCAGUCUUGAGUACAGUUGAGGUAGGCGGAAUUCGUGGUGUAGCGGUGAAAUGCUUAGAUAUCACGAAGAACCCCGAUUGCGAAGGCAGCUUACUAAACUGUGACUGACAUUGAUGCUCGAAAGUGUGGGUAUCAAACAGGAUUAGAUACCCCUGUAGUC
rnacentral:rRNA from 1 species